AAGGUUUGGUAGACUUUGAAACCAUCUAUAUGUCAUCCAUGCAAAACCUCACAUGACAAGUGUGUGGGUUGUGAUGAUGAGGAGGUAACUAGAAGCUUCCACAUACUAGCAAUAUGUUACACAUGCAUUGGGCCAAGUGACAUAUGUAUUUCUCUUUUCCCAAAUUUGUUUCAUUUGUAAAGUUUUUUUUCUCUCUCUUCUCUCUCUCUCUCGUACGCUCCCUCUCUCUUUCUCACCAUCUCACACUUUCAUCUCUCCUCCGUGUCUCAUCUCCUCCACCACCGCAUCCACCACAGCCUCCACCACCACCUACAAAUCAAUCUCCGAAUCAGAACGUCCUCUCCGCUUCCAGUGAUGCCGCCGUCAUCAGAAUCAUGUUAUUCUCCCUCUCAGGUUGUUGAAGUUUCAACUUCCAAAACUGGAAAACAUCAUGUUAAGUAUUGCUUUGUUGGUAUUGACAUCUUCACUGGACAAAAACUUGAAAAUAUUGUUCCUUCUACUCAUAACUGUGAUGUAUGAUUUUCAUUUUAAUAUGAGAUUAUCUUUUGGGUUUGGAUUAUAUUUCUAAUUAAUUGAUUAACUAAUGUGUGUUUGUUUGUUGUUACAACAGGUUCCUCGUGUCAAGGUUUCUUCUGAUAUGUAUAUGUUUUUGUUUGUCUUCUUCUGAUUAAUUAAAAAUUGAAUUUUUUUGGGGACAAUUUGUGUAUAUGUUGUGAUUUUGAAGUUUAAAACAUGAUUCCUAGCCAUAACAAGGUUUCUUCGUCACUUGAUUAUUAAAAAUUGAAAAAUUUUCUGCCACUUUUGUGUUGCAGGUUUCUGUGUUAGGGUUUCUCUUUCUCAUUAUGAAUGAAUCCCAAUUAAUUAUUAUUGUUGUUUUGAAUGAUUUUGAUAUUAAUUUUGAUUUAUGUGAUUGCAGCCGUCACCGACGCCUUUCCAGGAGGUGCUUGAGUGUAUGUUUGAUUACAUUAAUAGGUUGUUUAACAUGGUGCGACCUAGGAAGCUGUUGUUUAUGGCUAUUGAUGGUGUUGCAUCGAGGGCUAAAAUGAACUAGCAACGGUCUAGGCGGUUUAGGGCAGCUGAAGAUGCAUCUAAUGCGAGUGGGGACAAGGCUAUGAUUUUUUGUUUUGUGGAGUUUACUGAACCCAAAUGUGCUCUCACCGCCAUCGACGCUCUGCAAGGUAAAUGGUUUUUUUUUUUGUAUAUAUAACUGAGUUUGAUGUCUACCCACAAGGUCAAUAUAACUGAGUUUGAUGCUUGGUACAUUAUAGGGAUUUGUCUGAAAACUAGGAAAUAUAGACCUCUGAAUUAUGAGAUCUCAUUCUAUGAUUGAUGUGGAUCAAAAUAUAGAACACUAACACCAGAACUAAAGGGUGGAUUUAUUUUAUAACAUUUGAUGAGAUUGUGUUUUUUGCAGAUAAAGGGUGGAUUUUGAUCUAGCUUGAAUGUUUUGAUCAUCUGUUAUAAGAGAUAGUUCUCUUCUUGCAUCUCUUUAUAUCUCCAAUUUGGUUUUUAGAUUUUCAGUUCAGAUUUUUUGAUUUGCAGAUUACUUCUUAUUGGCUACUGAUUUGAUUUACAGGUUUGAUUGAAAAACAUGAAAUAACAUGUAUAGAGUAUUUAUACCGGCGAGGAAAAGAGAGUUCCGACCGAGAGAGUUGCAAUGGCAGUUCGCGGUGACACCGCCGUGCUUGGCGAUGGAGGUGAUGAAGCCUUUUUCUCCUUCUUUCCUCAGCAAUCAUAGCUGCUUAUUAUCAUUCAGCUGAAGCAGCUAUGUCUAAAGGAUCUUUUGAAGACAAUUUCAACCCUUUACCUAUUGACAUUUUUGGUGUAUUGCAAAUUUUGGUUUAAGAUGUACUCUCUUGCUGAUCCAUCUGGACGGAAAACAGCAUUGGUGGCCAUGAGGAACUCCAUAUAUCUAAUCCCUUUGGGUAUUUUGGCAUAUGAUUGGGGCGUGACUUCUGGAUGGUUUUGUCUCGAGUCCACUGCACUUGCACUUGCAAUAAGCGCCGCAGCGUUUUCAUUUUAUAGAGACCGUACUAAGGAAAGAGCUAGGAGAAUGUUUCAUGCCAGUCUUCUUUAUCUCCCUGUUUUUGGUAUCUCUCCUUAGACAAUGAUACAGUCAUUUAUUCGCUCUAUCCAUCACCAGCAAAUACAUUUUGCAUAUCAUCCCUUUUCUUUCACUCAAAAUGGCUAACUCAGGAAUAUAUGUGAAGAUGACUAAGAUUUCUGAGAUUAUUGGCCGAAAAAUUGAUUUUCAAUUGAGAGUUCGAGUAAUUAAUCUCUGGUCUACACCAGAUCGUGCUAAUCCGAGAGAAGAAGGGGCUCUCCACAUGAUUUUCCUUGAUAAAGAUUGUGCUGCAGGUUGAGAAAUUAGAUCUUAUAACUGCUGCUAUGGGACAUGCAUUGGCCACAGAAGGAGGAUUCUGCACCAGAAGUGCGAGAGUUAUAGAUCAUCAAGUUCUUAUAAAAUUGGUACUGCAUCAUCUGUAAAUGCAGCUUACAUAUUUUCCAGAAACAAUCUUUCUCGGCCUGCUAUACAGCUUCCUUGUGCAAGCAAAGCUAUUGUAGCUUGAAAGUUUUGAAUCAUCUGUUAUAAGAGAUUACUUCUUAUUGGCUACUAGAGAUCGAAUCAGUAAACCUUUAUUUAUGGUUUAAUUGAUUCAAUCCAACCGCUUGAACCAAAUGACUUAAUAAACAAGUAAUUAAUAAAAAUGAAAACAAUGAACCAGUUGAACCAACCAAAUUUCAACUCAGUUCAAUCCGGCAAUCCUCUUCUGUGAUGGUCAUUGUGGCAAUUGUAUGUUCCUAUUUGCAGGAUAAAUUGAGGCACCAGGUUGUUUUUGACACACUCAGGGGUGAUUGGAUGAUUGCCUUUGGAAAUUGGGAAUUUGACCCAAUGAAGCUUAGUAAUCCAUUCCCUCACAAUAACAGAAGUUCAGUUCACAUUUGGCAGGGCUAUGAAGAUAAAGUAGUACCCUCUCAAAUUUAAAGAUUCAUUUCAGAGAAGCUACCAUGGAUACAAUAUCAUGAAGUUGUAGAUGGUGGUCAUUUGAUUGUACAUUAUAGUGGCUUAGGCGAGGCGAUUUUGAAGGCACUUUUACUUGGGGAAGAAGAUAUUUCAUAUAAACCUAGAUCAUCAAAAUCUGUAUCUUAAUUUUGCCAUGACUUUUAUCAUAAUCCAAUGUUUAUUAUUGGUUAAUUUUUUGGAGAAGUGCCAGAUAUUUAAAUCACAUUAUUUGGUUGAAAGGAGGAAACUAUCAUAUACAAUCAUGUAUACUGUCUUUAUUCAUUUUUGAAAGAAAUGUUAGAAACAUGUUUUUUUUU